rnacentral:rRNA from 1 species
AAUGAACGCUGGCGGCGUGCUUUACACAUGCAAGUCGAGCGAGGCGUGUAACAAUACACAGUCGAGCGGCGAACGGGUGAGUAACACGUGGAUUAUCUACCCUAAGGUGGGGAACAACCCGGGGAACUCGGGCUGAUACCGCAUGAUACCGAAAGGUCAAAGGGGCGUCGCAAGGGCUUCCGCCAUAGGAGGAGUCUGCGUCCGAUUAGCUAGUUGGUAGGGUAAUGGCCUACCAAGGCGACGAUCGGUAGCCGGCCUGAGAGGGUGAUCGGCCACACUGGAACUGAGACACGGUCCAGACUCCUACGGGA